AAUAUAUAGGGCGUCUCGAGACGGUGCGGCAAGCAAAGUGUCCGCCACAUGGACGGACAUCUUGUCAAACAAAGAUGUGGCCAUGAAGAUAUUGGAAAAGGAAAGAGAGGAGAAGAAGACGGAGCAGUACAAUGCAAUCUUGUCUUUGCAAAGUGACAAAAUGUAGUUGAUUGGGAAAAGAUGAGGGAGAGGUUUGAGUUGGAGAGGGCGAGGUCAAAUUCGGAGCAAGAGGAGGCUUAGCUCAAAAUCGAGUUGGAGAAAAAGAAGAUCCACGAUGCCGCAAUAAUAGAACAAGAGGAAGUGAAUUUUGUAAGGUUCAAGGAGGAUGAGAGAAUCAUGUUUCAAGACGCUUCCCUCUUGUAUCGGUCUAUUACCGGUUAGUGACUCCUCAUUAUUCUUGUAUCGGUCUAUGUAUGAACAUGUUAAACUUUAAUUUUGUGUUGAAUUUGGCAAUGUAAUAACAACCUAAACUUCAAU
rnacentral:lncRNA from 1 species